rnacentral:lncRNA from 1 species
CUUCAACCAUGUUUUCAAUGUGAAGAGAGGAUGAGAAGAGUCUAUGGCCAAUAAGGUGGCCUUUCCUCAACCCUGAAUCUGAGGGUCUAAGCACCUUGACCUUAGACUUGCCAAUCUCCAGAACUUCGAGAAACUCACUUCUGUUGAUUAAGUCACCCUCAUGGGACUUUUGUUAUAGUAGCAUGGAUGACAUCCUGGGUAGGCCUCUACCUAAAACAGCAGCAUGGGUACUCAGCUGUGCUGCCAGAAUGUGGACUGGGGGAUGUCUAGAGGGCCACACACCUUAUACCUCCCAGUUCCUGGCCUGGUGCUCUGUGGAAGCAGUGCUCAUUCUCUUCUGUCCUCCACACUCCCUAGAACACAAAGUAUAUGCACGGCUGCCCUGAACCCAGAACCUGACACCUGACAGCCCUGGAAUGUCUUUACAGACUCUUGGCGUGGUUCACUCUGAGGCUAUGAGGGGACUGAAAGUUUCCUGCCUUUACCGACACGUCUGCUCCUCAGGUUCAAGGACCUGGUGACGCCCCUUUCCUAUGUCCACUGAGGUGACAAUGCUUUGGAUGAGGAGGUGGUAUCAUGGUACUCCCGUGGGAUUUCCCGAAGAAGGUAAAGCCACUGUCCAUCAAAAGUAAAAUUCUGAUUCUCCUUGGUUCCAUCUCUUUUCUUGUACAAACACAUACUGAGUACUAUGUAGCCCCUCUUUGAGGCAAUCCCCCCAAAUGGUCACAUGUUUCAUGAGAUGCCCCACAACAGCCCAGGACAUAGGCCAACUAUGUGUUAUCUGCAUCACAUAACUCUGGUAAUACAGGAGAGUUCAGAUCUGAGGCUGUGGGAGAAGGAUAUAGAAGAAUACCGCAGUCAAUGGAGAUAGAUAGCAACACUCUUCACUGAGGAAGGUGGUACGUCUUUUAAGACAGCCAUUCGCAGAUCUUCAAGAAACUGGGACAAAAUAAAACACCCCAAAUCAGAGGUGUCUCA